rnacentral:rRNA from 1 species
CGCUGGCGGCGUGCCUAAUACAUGCAAGUCGAGCGGACCAAAGGGAGCUUGCUCCUGGAGGUCAGCGGCGAACGGGUGAGUAACACGUGGCAACCUGCCUGUAAGACUGGGUAUAACAUCGAGAAAUCGGUGCUAAUACCGGAUAAUAAAAAGAACUGCAUGGUUCUUUUUUGAAAGAUGGUUUCGGCUAUCACUUACAGAUGGGCCCGCGGCGCAUUAGCUAGUUGGUGAGGUAACGGCUCACCAAGGCAACGAUGCGUAGCCGACCUGAGAGGGUGAUCGGCCACACUGGGACUGAGACACGGCCCAGACUCCUACGGGAGGCAGCAGUAGGGAAUCUUCCGCAAUGGACGAAAGUCUGACGGAGCAACGCCGCGUGAGUGAUGAAGGUUUUCGGAUCGUAAAACUCUGUUGUUAGGGAAGAACAAGUGCCGUUCGAAAGGGCGGCACCUUGACGGUACCUAACGAGAAAGCCACGGCUAACUACGUG